UACCAGCACCCCGAGUGGUCGGGACGUUUAUUGGGCCUAAAGCAUCCGUAGCCGGUUCUACGAGUCUUCCGUUAAAUCCAACUGCUUAACAGGUGGGCUGCGGAAGAUACUAUAGAGCUAGGAGGCGGGAGAGGCGAGCGGUACUCGAUGGGUAGGGGUAAAAUCCGUUGAUCCAUUGAAGACCACCAGUGGCGAAGGCGGCUUGCCAGAACGCGCUCGACGGUGAGGGAUGAAAGCUGGGGGAGCAAACCGG
rnacentral:rRNA from 1 species